rnacentral:siRNA from 1 species
AGCGAAAUUCAAUGCCAAGAUGGU